AUUCAGUUUACUCUUAAAGAUUUUUCUAGUCCUCUGGAUGUAUUUUUUACUGACCACAGUUUUCACAUGCCCAUGUUUGAUGUUGUCCAUUUGCAAGAUGCCAAGGUAUUUAUAGGCUUCAUGCUGGUGGCACUUGAUAGCUUGUCCAUUAGGCAUUUCAAUGCCUUUGCUUUCAGUGAUCUUUCCCUUCUUCAGUGCCACUCUGGAAUAUUUGUCCAGACCAAAUUCCAUGUUGAUGUCAUUGCUGAAUAUUUGGACUGUAUUGGUCAAAAUAUGGAUUUCAUUAUCUGAUUUUCCAUAAAGCUUCAGGUCAUCCAUGUACAGGAGAUGAGAAAUUUUUUGUGAGUUCUUGGCUGUUUGGUAUCCAAGAUUUGUUGUCUGUAGAAUGAGUGACAGAGGAAUCA
rnacentral:lncRNA from 1 species